CAAAAGAAGCAGAUAAUACAGCCGUCUACAAUUAAAUAUACAUUGCGUUCGGCUCUACAUACGUAUAUUAUAAAUUUCAUAUUGCUGAGAAUAAACUGAUUUAUCACUGAUUACGUGUGCGAUAUCUCUGACUGUAUCGAAACAUUCGUCUGUGCUCUCCGAAACUCACUGCGAAGUACCACCAUACUUUGUACUAAAGCUGGAUGCGGUAAUUGAUGUCACUAGACCUACGGAAGACGACUGAGGUAAAAAAAACUUCGUCGACGAUUCGUGAAAACAGGUUACAUCGGUUACAAAAAAGGUCCGCUCUUGUCCUUAGUGCCUACAAACGCAGCCCAUCUAAACGCUUCGCAUUGCGCGAAUGCCCAUGCGGUAAUUAAGUUGACGUUUUUCAAUGAGAUCGGCGAUCUAAAUUCAAUAGAUUUGCGCAGAUUUUAUAGUCAGCCAAUCAGAUGUUUAAAAAAACAGCUUCUCGUAGUCUCAACAUGCUUCGUAUGUAUCGUCAUGCGUGUCGACGACAUUUCAAGCAAGGACCAGAUCCGUCUUGACAUAGAGUUAGGUAUGUCCCAACAAAAUAACUACAAAGAAAAGCUUCUAU